GCGAGUGGUCGGCACCAUUAUUGGGCCUAAAGCGCCCGUAGCCGGCCCGGUAAGUCCUCCCUUAAAGCCCCGGGCAUCAACCCGGGGACGGGGAUGAUACUGGCGAGGCUAGGAGGGCGGGAGAGGCCGAGGGUACUCCCUGGGGUAGGGGCGAAAUCCGUUAAUCCCGGGAGGACCACCAGUGGCGAAGGCGCUCGGCUGGAACGCGCCCGACGGUGAGGGGCGAAAGCCGGGGGAGCGAACCGGAUUAGAUACCCGGGUAGUCCCGGCUGUAAACGAUGCGGCACUAGGUGUUGGGCGGGUCCUAGAGCCCGCCCAGUGCCGCAGGGAAGCCGUUAAGCCCGCCGCCUGGGGAGUACGGCCGCAAGGCUGAAACUUAAAGGAAUUGGCGGGGGAGCACCACAAGGGGUGGAGCCUGCGGCUUAAUUGGAGUCAACGCCAGGAAUCUCACCGGGGGCGACAGCAGGAUGACGGCCAGGCUGACGACCUUGCCCGACGCGCUGAGAGGAGGUGCAUGGCCGUCGCCAGCUCGUGUCGUGAGAUGUCCGGUUAAGUCCGGCAACGAGCGAGACCCCCGCCCCCAGUUGCGAUCCGGUCCUCCGGGACCGGAGCACACUGGGGGGACUGCCGCCGUGUAAGGCGGAGGAAGGAGGGGGCCACGGCAGGUCAGCAUGCCCCGAAACCCCCGGGCUGCACGCGGGCUACAAUGGCGGGGACAGCGGGCUUCCGACCCCGAAAGGGGGAGGGAAUCCCUUAAACCCCGCCGUAGUUGGGAUCGAGGGCUGCAACUCGCCCUCGUGAACGAGGAAUCCCUAGUAACCGCGCGUCAACAUCGCGCGGUGAAUACGUCCCUGCUCCU
rnacentral:rRNA from 1 species